AUUGAACGCUGGCGGAAUGCUUUACACAUGCAAGUCGAACGGCAGCACGGACUUCGGUCUGGUGGCGAGUGGCGAACGGGUGAGUAACAUAUCGGAACGUAUCCAAUAAUGGGGGAUAACUAAUCGAAAGGUUGGCUAAUACCGCAUACGCCCUACGGGGGAAAGCUAGGGACCUUCGGGCCUGGCGUUAAUGGAGCGGCCGAUAUCUGAUUAGCUAGUUGGUGGGGUAAAGGCCCACCAAGGCGACGAUCAGUAGCUGGUCUGAGAGGACGACCAGCCACACUGGAACUGAGACACGGUCCAGACUCCUACGGGAGGCAGCAGUGGGGAAUUUUGGACAAUGGGCGCAAGCCUGAUCCAGCCAUUCCGCGUGAGUGAAGAAGGCCUUCGGGUUGUAAAGCUCUUUCGCAAGGGAAGAAAACUUAUCCUCUAACACAGGAUGAGGUUGACGGUACCUUGAUAAGAAGCACCGGCUAACUACGUGCCAGCCGCCGCCGUAAUAC
rnacentral:rRNA from 1 species